GCCGCUUGGCCGAGUUCUCGAACACCAGGACGCCCAGCUCCCGAGCGUGGGCCAGCAGCAGCUCAAAGUCCACUUGCGACAGGAACUGGUUAUACAGGACGCCUGGGGUCCGCAGGUCAGGAGCGACGGGGAGAGAGAGGAGGGCUCAUCCUAACACUAGUGUGAUCCAGCCAUAUUCAGGAAAGCAGUAUAAUACAAUAAGAAAACCCAUUAAUGCUUACCAAAACCAGAGAAAUUACUAUGAAUUAUCCCUCCCAAUUUCCCUCUUCUAGCUAAAUCCAAAUUUAAAUCAGAUUUGAGACAAUUUAUUUACUGCCACCGACUCACCCCAAAAUAAAAAGUGCAUGCGUUUACCAGCCCAUGCAGUAAACAAAAAAUAAAAUGCAUGAAUAGCUUUUUCA